GCUACAGUCGCAGCCUCAGACACGGCCACAGCCUCUUCUUCCUCCCCUGCUCAUCUUCCUCUCCUUCUUCUCUUCCAACUGCAGUUGCCAUCGCCGCAGCCGCAGCCUCUUCUUCCCCUUCUCUUCUUCCUUUCCUUCCCUUCUUCCUUCCUCUUCCUCUUUCCCUGCCACAGCUGCAGCUGCCACAGCCACAGCCGCAGCUGCUUCUUUCCCUUCUCCUCUUCCUUCUCCUUCCUUUCUUCUUCUUCUCUUCUUCCUCACCUUCUCUUCGUCUCCUUCUCUUCCAGCUACACCUGCCACGGCCGCAGCCGCAGCUCCUCCUUUCCCUUCUCUUCUUCUCCUCUUCUUCUUCCCUCCUCCUCCCCGGCGUCACACACACCCUCUCCUCUAUUUCCUCUUCUCCUGCUUCCUCUUCUUCUUCUCUUCCUCUUCUUCUUCUUCUCCUCUUCGAACGCCCCACACCUCUCCUCUGUUUCCACCUGCACGAAACAGAGUUACUGCAGCCCUAGCUGCUGCCACCUCUCGCUCCUCUCCCUCUUCCUCUCUUUUCCCUCUUCUUCUCCUUCUCUUCUUCUCCUCUUCCCUUUUCCUCCCCAACGCCACACAUCUCCUCGCUGCAGCCUUGCCGCAACUAUCCUCCUCUCUUCUUCUUCUUCUUUCUUCUCCCCACGCCCCACCGCUCCUCUCUCUGU
rnacentral:lncRNA from 1 species